rnacentral:rRNA from 1 species
GACGAACGCUGGCGGCGUGCCUAACACAUGCAAGUCGAGCGGGGAGAGAUUUUCGGAUGUCUCUUUAGCGGCGGACGGGUGAGUAACACGUGGGUAACCUGCCUCAAAGAGGGGGAUAGCCUUCCGAAAGGAAGAUUAAUACCGCAUAAUAUCAGGAAGCUGCAUGGAAUGGUGAUCAAAGGAGUAAUCCAGUUUGAGAUGGGCCCGCGGCGCAUUAGCUAGUUGGUGAGGUAACGGCUCACCAAGGCGACGAUGCGUAGCCGACCUGAGAGGGUGAUCGGCCACAUUGGAACUGAGAUACGGUCCAGACUCCUACGGGAGGCAGCAGUGGGGAAUAUUGCACAAUGGGGGAAACCCUGAUGCAGCAACGCCGCGUGAGUGAUGAAGGCCUUCGGGUUGUAAAGCUCUGUCUUUGGGGACGAUUAUGACGGUACCCAAGGAGGAAGCCACGGCUAACUACGUGCCAGCAGCCGCCGUAACAC